CGACAAUGAGAAGCUGGCUGCGGCGCAUGUCCGGGCGUUCGCGGCGAGAUUUUACGGACUGGGCUUCGUAUUGGGCUGCCGUAUGCCGGGUACGGAGAGAAGGAUGAAAUGACGGAUAAGCAUGUAGAAAGCCUUCGGGUUCCCUGUUUGGACGAGGGUUCGACUCCCUCCAGCUCCACAG
rnacentral:tmRNA from 1 species